UACGUAGGGGGCAAGCGUUGUCCGGAAUCAUUGGGCGUAAAGCGCGUGUAGGCGGCUUGGUAAGUCCGCUCUGAAAGCCCGGGGCUCAACCCCGGGAGGCGGGUGGAUACUGUCAAGCUCGAGUCCGGAAGAGGCGAGUGGAAUUCCUGGUGUAGCGGUGGAAUGCGCAGAUAUCAGGAGGAACACCAAUAGCGAAGGCAGCUCGCUGGGACGUUACUGACACUGAGGCGCGAAAGCGUGGGGAGCGAACAGG
rnacentral:rRNA from 1 species